UGGGGAAUUUUGGACAAUGGGGGAAACCCUGAUCCAGCCAUCCCGCGUGUGCGAUGAAGGCCUUCGGGUUGUAAAGCACUUUUGGCAGGAAAGAAACGUCGCGGGUUAAUACCCCGCGAAACUGACGGUACCUGCAGAAUAAGCACCGGCUAACUACGUGCCAGCAGCCGCGGUAAUACGUAGGGUGCAAGCGUUAAUCGGAAUUACUGGGCGUAAAGCGUGCGCAGGCGGUUCGGAAAGAAAGAUGUGAAAUCCCAGAGCUUAACUUUGGAACUGCAUUUUUAACUACCGGGCUAGAGUGUGUCAGAGGGAGGUGGAAUUCCGCGUGUAGCAGUGAAAUGCGUAGAUAUGCGGAGGAACACCGAUGGCGAAGGCAGCCUCCUGGGAUAACACUGACGCUCAUGCACGAAAGCGUGGGGAGCAAACAGGAUUAGAUACCCUGGUAGUCCACGCCCUAAACGAUGUCAACUAGCUGUUGGGGCCUUCGGGCCUUGGUAGCGCAGCUAACGCGUGAAGUUGACCGCCUGGGGAGUACGGUCGCAAGAUUAAAACUCAAAUGAAUUGGC
rnacentral:rRNA from 1 species